AUGCGUGCGUCAAUUCCGACGAUGUUAUUGACGAAGAUUGCAAUGCCAUAUUACCACUCCUGCCAUUAAAAACCUACGAAGAGGUAUUGAAUGCCGAGAAGAGUCUCGGACUGGAAACGGUAUACGAAGCUUUGUUCAACCAUUUGUCCAGAAUUGGAGGAAUUGCCCCCAAAGAGGCAACCAAAAGGAUGUUUAAAAGCUUGAUAACAUAUGAGGCAGCACAGUGAUUCAGUUUUUAUGGCUUAAAACAGAAGAUUCCUUUUACGAAGCUCAAGAUGAAGGAUGCAUUGUUUAAAAGUGUCAAAAUUAAUUUUUAAAAAUGCACAGACUCAGAAAUAGAAGUGGUUGUGAAGGAUUGUUUGAAACAGGCAAAAUGCCGCAUCGAAAACCGAAACCCAGAUCUGGCUCCACCUGACUCUUUUGUCAAAUUUAUUGAAAGAACGGCGGUUUGACUCCAUCGAGGCGGUUCAAGUGGGCACGAGAGCUGCUCCCAACAGUUUUCCUGAAACUGACUUCCAGUGGGCUUAUGAUGGAAUUAAGUGCAUCGAAGCAGGAGGAAAUUAUUUUGAGUAUUAAGCAAAGUGUAAUGAUCCCUGAUAUAAAUUUUGAUUUUUCCAA